GAUGAACGCUGGCGGCGUGCCUAAUACAUGCAAGUCGAGCGAACAGAUGAGGAGCUUGCUCCUCUGACGUUAGCGGCGGACGGGUGAGUAACACGUGGAUAACCUACCUAUAAGACUGGGAUAACUUCGGGAAACCGGAGCUAAUACCGGAUAAUAUAUUGAACCGCAUGGUUCAAUAGUGAAAGACGGUUUUGCUGUCACUUAUAGAUGGAUCCGCGCCGCAUUAGCUAGUUGGUAAGGUAACGGCUUACCAAGGCAACGAUGCUUAGCCGACCUGAGAGGGUGAUCGGCCACACUGGAACUGAGACACGGUCCAGACUCCUACGGGAGGCAGCAGUAGGGAAUCUUCCGCAAUGGGCGAAAGCCUGACGGAGCAAAGCCGCGUGAGUGAUGAAGGUCUUCGGAUCGUAAAACUCUGUUAUUAGGGAAGAACAAAUGUGUAAGUAACUAUGCACGUCUUGACGGUACCUAAUCAGAAAGCCACGGCUAACUACGUG
rnacentral:rRNA from 1 species